GAUGAACGCUGGCGGCGUGCCUAAUCCAUGCAAGUCGAGCGAAUGACGAGGAGCUUGCUCCUCUGAUUUAGCGGCGGACGGGUGAGUAACACGUGGGUAACCUGCCUGUAAGACGGGGAUAACUCCGGGAAACCGGAGCUAAUACCGGAUGAUAACGAAAAGCGCCUGCUUCUUUUUUGCAAGUCGGUUUCGGCUGACGCUUACAGAUGGGCCCGCGGCGCAUUAGCUAGUUGGUGAGGUAACGGCUCACCAAGGCGACGAUGCGUAGCCGACCUGAGAGGGUGAUCGGCCACACUGGGACUGAGACACGGCCCAGACUCCUACGGGAGGCAGCAGUAGGGAAUCUUCGGCAAUGGACGAAAGUCUGACCGAGCAACGCCGCGUGAGCGAUGAAGGCCUUCGGGUCGUAAAGCUCUGUUGUCAGAGAAGAACAAGUACCGGAGUAACUGCCGGUACCUUGACGGUACUUGACCAGAAAGCCACGGCUAACUACGUGCCAGCCGCCGCAGUAAAAC
rnacentral:rRNA from 1 species